rnacentral:rRNA from 1 species
UACGAAGGGGGCUAGCGUUGUUCGGAUUUACUGGGCGUAAAGCGCGUGUAGGCGGCUUUGCAAGUCGGGUGUGAAAGCCCUCGGCUCAACCGAGGAAGUGCGCCCGAAACUGCAGAGCUUGAGUACCGGAGAGGAUGGCGGAAUUCCCCAAGUAGAGGUGAAAUUCGUAGAUAUGGGGAGGAACACCGGUGGCGAAGGCGGCCAUCUGGACGGAUACUGACGCUGAGACGCGAAAGCGUGGGGAGCAAACGGG